AGAACGAACGCUGGCGGCGCGUCUUAAACAUACAAGUCGUACGGGAACCUCAGUGCUUGCGUUGAGGGGAGAGUGGCGAACGGGUGAGUAACACGUGGAUAAUCUGCCUUCAGGUUGGGGAUAACCCCGGGUAACCGGAGCUAAUACCGAAUAAUAUGGUUUUACACAGGUAAGAAUCAUUAAAGGUGGGGACCUUAGGGCCUACUGCCUGGAGAUGAGUCCGCGGCCCAUUAGCUUGUUGGUGGGGUAAUGGCCUACCAAGGCUACGAUGGGUAGCCGGCCUGAGAGGGUGGACGGCCACAUUGGGACUGAGAUACGGCCCAGACUCCUACGGGAGGCAGCAGUUAAGAAUCUUGCGCAAUGGGCGAAAGCCUGACGCAGCGACGCCGCGUGGACGAUGAAGGCCUUCGGGUUGUAAAGUCUGGUAAACAGGGAAGAAUAAGCAAAGGGUAAUAUUCUUUGUGAUGACGGUACCUGUCUAAAGCCCCGGCUAACUACGCGCCAGCAGCCGCGGUAAUACGUAUGGGGCAAGCGUUGUUCGGAAUUAUUGGGCGUAAAGGGCGUCUAGGCGGGGGAUUAAGUCGGAUGUGAAAGCCUUAGGCUCAACCUGAGACUUGCAUCCAAAACUGGUUCUCUUGACUCCGGGAGAGGAGAGCGGAAUUCCCGGUGUAGCGGUGAAAUGC
rnacentral:rRNA from 1 species